rnacentral:rRNA from 1 species
UACAGAGGGGGCAAGCGUUGCUCGGAAUUACUGGGCGUAAAGGGCGCGUAGGCGGCCACCUAAGUCAGACGUGAAAUCCCUCGGCUCAACCGGGGAACUGCGUCCGAUACUGGCAGGCUUGAAUUCGGGAGAGGGAUGCGGAAUUCCAGGUGUAGCGGUGAAAUGCGUAGAGAUCGGGAGGAACACCGGUGGCGAAGGCGGUCUUCUGGACGGUGACUGACGCUGAGGCGCGAAAGCGUGGGGAGCAAACGGG